CAGUCGAGCGGACAGAAGGGAGCUUGCUCCCGGAUGUUAGCGGCGGACGGGUGAGUAACACGUGGGUAACCUGCCUGUAAGACUGGGAUAACUCCGGGAAACCGGAGCUAAUACCGGAUAGUUCCUUGAACCGCAUGGUUCAAGGAUGAAAGACGGUUUCGGCUGUCACUUACAGAUGGACCCGCGGCGCAUUAGCUAGUUGGUGAGGUAACGGCUCACCAAGGCGACGAUGCGUAGCCGACCUGAGAGGGUGAUCGGCCACACUGGGACUGAGACACGGCCCAGACUCCUACGGGAGGCAGCAGUAGGGAAUCUUCCGCAAUGGACGAAAGUCUGACGGAGCAACGCCGCGUGAGUGAUGAAGGUUUUCGGAUCGUAAAGCUCUGUUGUUAGGGAAGAACAAGUGCAAGAGUAACUGCUUGCACCUUGACGGUACCUAACCAGAAAGCCACGGCUAACUACGUGCCAGCAGCCGCGGUAAUACGUAGGUGGCAAGCGUUGUCCGGAAUUAUUGGGCGUAAAGGGCUCGCAGGCGGUUUCUUAAGUCUGAUGUGAAAGCCCCCGGCUCAACCGGGGAGG
rnacentral:rRNA from 1 species